rnacentral:tRNA from 1 species
ACAGUUUAGCUUAAUUGGUAAAGCACUUGACAAGUAAUCAAAGGGAUAUGAGUUCGAGUUUCAUGGCUUGUU